UGCGGAGCUAAUAACAGAGUUAUACAUAUUCAAUCAGUCAAAACACGGGAAGUACGAAAACAUAUUUUGUGAAAAUGUGGCACAAAUGGUGUACAUGCAUUAUGUUCCUGCUGUUAAGGAAUGUGUUGGUGACUUUCCAAGCAGAACUCGCCCUCACAUAUGAUUGUGCUUCUGACGGCAGAGUGACG